rnacentral:rRNA from 1 species
GACGAACGCUGGCGGCGCGCUUAACACAUGCAAGUCGAGCGAGAACCCAGGCUUUGGCCUGGGGGACAGCGGCGAACGGGUGAGUAACACGUGAGUAAUCUGCGCUCGGCACCGGGAUAGCCCGGGGAAACCCGGAUUAAUACCGGAUGGCCCAUCCGCUCUUCGGAGUGGCCGGGAAAGGUAGCUUAGGCCUCCGGUCGAGGAGGAGCCUGCUGAGGAUUAGCUUGUUGGUAAGGUAACGGCUCACCAAGGCUCCGAUCCGUAGCUGGUCUGAGAGGACGAUCAGCCACACUGGGACUGAGACACGGCCCAGACUCCUACGGGAGGCAGCAGUGGGGAAUCUUGCGCAAUGGGCGAAAGCCUGACGCAGCGACGCCGCGUGCGGGAAGAAGGCCUUCGUGUUGUAAACCGCUUUCAGGAGGGACGAAGCCACUCGGGUUAAUAGCCCAGAGGGUGACGGUGCCUCCAGAAGAAGCCCCGGCUAACUACGUGCCAGCAGCCGCCGCCGUAA